GAUGAACGCUGGCUACAGGCUUAACACAUGCCAGUCGAGGGGAAACGACGGGGAAGCUUGCUUCCCCGGGCGUCGACCGGCGCACGGGUGAGUAACGCGUAUCCAACCUGCCUCUGACUGAGGGAUAACCCGUCGAAAGUCGGCCUAAUACCUCAUGGUAUCGUCUGCGGGCAUCCAACGACGAUUAAAGAUUUCAUCGGUCAGGGAUGGGGAUGCGUCUGAUUAGCUUGUUGGCGGGGUAACGGCCCACCAAGGCGACGAUCAGUAGGGGUUCUGAGAGGAAGGUCCCCCACAUUGGAACUGAGACACGGUCCAAACUCCUACGGGAGGCAGCAGUGAGGAAUAUUGGUCAAUGGGCGAGAGCCUGAACCAGCCAAGUAGCGUGCAGGAAGACGGCCCUAUGGGUUGUAAACUGCUUUUAUGCGGGGAUAAAGUGAGGGACGUGUCCCUCAUUGCAGGUACCGCAUGAAUAAGGACCGGCUAAUUCCGUG
rnacentral:rRNA from 1 species